UGCAGCCGAGCGGUAGAGAUCUUUCGGGAUCUUGAGAGCGGCGUACGGGUGCGGAACACGUGUGCAACCUGCCUUUAUCAGGGGGAUAGCCUUUCGAAAGGAAGAUUAAUACCCCAUAAUAUUUAGAAUGGCAUCAUUUUAAAUUGAAAACUCCGGUGGAUAGAGAUGGGCACGCGCAAGAUUAGAUAGUUGGUGAGGUAACGGCUCACCAAGUCUGCGAUCUUUAGGGGGCCUGAGAGGGUGAUCCCCCACACUGGUACUGAGACACGGACCAGACUCCUACGGGAGGCAGCAGUGAGGAAUAUUGGACAAUGGGUGCGAGCCUGAUCCAGCCAUCCCGCGUGAAGGAUGACGGCCCUAUGGGUUGUAAACUUCUUUUGUAUAGGGAUAAACCUAGAUACGUGUAUCUAGCUGAAGGUACUAUACGAAUAAGCACCGGCUAACUCCGUGCCAGCAGCCGCGGUAAUACGGAGGGUGCAAGCGUUAUCCGGAUUUAUUGGGUUUAAAGGGUCCGUAGGCGGAUCUGUAAGUCAGUGGUGAAAUCUCACAGCUUAACUGUGAAACUGCCAUUGAUACUGCAGGUCUUGAGUGUUGUUGAAGUAGCUGGAAUAAGUAGUGUAGCGGUGAAAUGCAUAGAUAUUACUUAGAACACCAAUUGCGAAGGCAGGUUACUAAGCAACAACUGACGCUGAUGGACGAAAGCGUGGGGAGCGAACAGGAUUAGAUACCCUGGUAGUCCACGCCGUAAACGAUGCUAACUCGUUUUUGGAGCGCAAGCUUCAGAGACUAAGCGAAAGUGAUAAGUUAGCCACCUGGGGAGUACGAACGCAAGUUUGAAACUCAAAGGAAUUGACGGGGGCCCGCACAAGCGGUGGAUUAUGUGGUUUAAUUCGAUGAUACGCGAGGAACCUUACCAAGGCUUAAAUGGGGAAAUGACAGGCUUAGAAAUAGGCUUUUCUUCGGACAUUUUUCAAGGUGCUGCAUGGUUGUCGUCAGCUCGUGCCGUGAGGUGUUAGGUUAAGUCCUGCAACGAGCGCAACCCCUGUCACUAGUUGCCAUCAUUAAGUUGGGGACUCUAGUGAGACUGCCUACGCAAGUAGAGAGGAAGGUGGGGAUGACGUCAAAUCAUCACGGCCCUUACGCCUUGGGCCACACACGUAAUACAAUGGCCGGUACAGAGGGCAGCUACACAGCGAUGUGAUGCAAAUCUCGAAAGCCGGUCUCAGUUCGGAUUGGAGUCUGCAACUCGACUCUAUGAAGCUGGAAUCGCUAGUAAUCGCGCAUCAGCCAUGGCGCGGUGAAUACGUUCCCGGGCCUUGUACACACCGCCCGUCAAGCCAUGGAAGU
rnacentral:rRNA from 1 species